rnacentral:rRNA from 1 species
UACGGGGGGGGCAAGCGUUGUUCGGAAUUACUGGGCGUAAAGGGUUCGUAGGUGGCUUGCUAAGUCAGACGUGAAAUCCCUCAGCUUAACUGGGGAACUGCGUCUGAUACUGGCGAGCUUGAGUGCAGGAGAGGAACGCAGAAUUCCAGGUGUAGCGGUGAAAUGCGUAGAUAUUCGGAAGAACACCAGUGGCGAAGGCGGCUCACUGGUCCGGUACUGACGCUGAGGUGCGAAAGCGUGGGGAGCAAACAGG